rnacentral:rRNA from 10 species
GCUUACGGCCAUACCACCUUAGGCACGCCCGAUCUCGUCUGAUCUCGGUCAGGUGUGCGAGCAGGAAGCAGGAAGUGAGCAGAGAGCA